ensembl:snRNA U6 U6 spliceosomal RNA
GUGCUUCCUUCCGCAGCACACAUGCUAAAAUUGGAAUGAUAACAGAGAAGAUUAGCAUGGCUCCUUCACAAGGAUGACACAUAAAAUUUAUGAAAUGUUUCAUAUUUUU